rnacentral:snRNA from 1 species
UCGCUUCAGCAGCACAUAUACUAAAAUUGGAAUGAUACGGAGAAGAUUAGCAUGGCCCUCACGCAAGGAUGAUAUGCAAAUUCAUGACAUGUUCCAUAUUUUA